GCAUCUCCGGGGCUCUCAGGUGUGCGCACUUUUCAGGCUCCGCAGCUGAAACUCCGCCGGCAGCCCAGGCAGCGCCCACCUGCUCUCAACUAGCCAGCGUCUCCCUCGGCCCGCGUAAAUCCAAGGCCCCAGAUCCUGCCCACUCCAGAUACUGCAAACGCUGACUGCGCCAACAGAAACUCAGAGGCCCUUUUCAUCUGGUUCAAGAGAAGCCCAACAGAAAGUGAAACAGCUCCCAUCCCUUGGCGGAGAAGGCUCCAGGCCAGGUCCCAGGAGAGCGAAUGGCAUGAUGGAGGACAGCCCGGCUCACAAGGUCCACAGCCUAAUCUGUGUCAUCAACUCAAAACUCAAUGGAAACACCUCUUUGGUCAUUGGAUAAAACCAUCUUCAAAAACACAAUGAUUUGAAUAUUUGAAAAUGAAUCAGAUAGGCUGGAACUACAGCGUGAAGGUGAAUGGCCUUUUCCAAGCAAUAACUAGGAACGUGGAACCUGAACCAAACGCUUCAAUAAGGGUGCUGGAACA